ACACACAAACCGAAUUACCCAUCUGAUACGUCCUAUACACGCAUACCUCCCCGGCUUCUCGCCCACAACAUCGCGCGAAGUACGUCCGUCUUUUUGAAUGUGUACUAUUUCACGCGGUUCGUUCGUCGAUCGCGCGCUGCACGUUCCGACAGUCGGGCGGCGCGCUAUUAAAUUCACGCGGCCCCGGUUGUUGUUCGUUUCCCG